rnacentral:sRNA from 1 species
GAAGCUCUUCUAUUAUCGAUUGCCGUCGGAAGUCGUCCACUAGUCGAGUUUGUUCUCGUACUUUUCGUCGAUGCACCAUACCUUGAAAGAAGUGGUAAGUGUGAGGAAGUUUGUAUUAAAGCGCAUUUGCAUCACACUAAUUUCAGGAUCUGCUAAUUCUCCACAUUUUCCACCACAUAUGACUCCACUGAUGCUGGCAUGCAUUUUGAAUAAUUUUUCGAUUGUUCAGUGUCUUAUAACUAGAGGACAUUGUAUUCAGAUACCACAUUUCAUUACUUGUGAGUUCAAACAUCAUAUUUGACGCGCAAACAUUGCAAAAGAGCGAACAUGCGUCGGUAGGACCGAAUGCACCAUAUUCUACGCGCAAAAAUGGUAAAGUGUUGCAGGUGAAUGCAAAACCUGCAAACGGGAAACCGUAACAACCCACUCAUCAACUCGCCUCGUCGACGUCAUGCGUGCACUGUCCUCUGAAGCCUACCUGUGGCUGGCAACUGAUGACGUGUUCGCUGCCACGUGUGCUGUCGCCCGAGACCUUCAACAAUUGGCGAGCGAUGAUCAGCUGGAAUACGUGGAAACCUAUCGAGACCUCGAGAUGAAUGUGCAACGGUUUUUGUGCAGAAUUUCAGAUCAAGCAUGGAGAGUCGACGAGUUCAAUAUGAUGGUUGCUAAUGUAAGAAUUUGUGUUAAAUUUUAGAUAUUGGGAGAAUUUAAAUUGAAUUUCAGAGAAACUACUGCCCGGAAAGAAUGACUGAAAUCUCAUCACCGCGUCUUCAAAUGGCUAUGGAUUCUCAAAUGAGACAAUUCACGUGCUCCACCAAUUCACAGACAACUAUUAAGUCUGUCUUCAGAUCAGG